rnacentral:rRNA from 1 species
GAUGAACGCUAGCGGCAGGCCUAACACAUGCAAGUCGAGGGGUAACUAGAGUGAUAGCAAUAUUACUUUGGCUAGACCGGCGCACGGGUGCGUAACACGUAUGCAACCUACCUUAUACUGGGGAAUAACUUCGAGAAAUCGGCGCUAAUACCCCAUAACAUUGCGAAGAGGCAUCUCUUUGCAAUUAAAGCUCCGGCGGUAUAAGAUGGGCAUGCGUCCAAUUAGCUAGUUGGUGAGGUAACGGCUCACCAAGGCCACGAUUGGUAGGGGUUCUGAGAGGAUGAUCACCCACACUGGUACUGAGACACGGACCAGACUCCUACGGGAGGCAGCAGUGAGGAAUAUUGCGCAAUGGACGAAAGUCUGACGCAGCCAUGCCGCGUGCAGGAUGACGGCCCUAUGGGUUGUAAACUGCUUUUGUACGGGAAUAAACCCUUCUACGUGUAGGAGGCUGAAGGUACCGUAAGAAUAAGCACCGGCUAACUCCGUGCCAGCAGCCGCCGUAAAAC